UACAGAGGGUGCGAGCGUUGUCCGGAAUCACUGGGCGUAAAGGGCGCGUAGGCGGCCUGAUAAGUAGGGGGUGAAAUCCUGUGGCUUAACUGCAGGGCUGCCUCCUAGACUGUUAGGCUCGAGCACGGUAGAGGCAGAUGGAAUUCCCGGUGUAGCGGUGGAAUGCGUAGAGAUCGGGAAGAACAUCGGUGGCGAAGGCGGUCUGCUGGGCCGUUGCUGACGCUGAGGCGCGACAGCGGUGGGGAGCGAACAGG
rnacentral:rRNA from 1 species